GGCAGGCAUAGGAUCGAAACCCUGGAGCCUUCCCAUGUUCUCCUGGCCGCACGAGAGGAGCUCACCCUGGCCCCAUCAUGUUCACAGACUACCACCAUACGCUGGCUACAGCCGAAUGCUUCGAGAAGAGCCCCCCCCGCACCCCCCCCCCACUUCGGUCCCGCUGCGCCCCUUUCCUGGACUCCGGACUCAUCUCUAUCAGAGGACAAGAGAGGUUACAGCUCUCCGAACCCAACUGACCUCUACUAGGGCCAGGAGACUCAGAGGAAGGAGGAGAGUUCACAAGGGCAGGAAACUUAAUGAAGUCAUCAGGAAGGAAGCAGAGGAAAGGGCAGCAUGGCAAACAGCAGGAAACUUGAGCUCAUUAGCUCCAAACUGGACCAGACCCUCUUUGCUCCCCUGUGCCAGGGGAACAAAUAUGAGCAGAACUGAGUAAGGCCGUGGUGAGUGUCUCAGAGCCUCGAGACACCGCUCCCGUAACCCUCUCCAGCUCCUCACAGAUUGCUCUCUGUUAACCAUUUGCUCCCAGAACUUCCUCCACAUCAACUUAAAGACUUGCCAACCAUCCCAUAAAAAUGUUCCACUCUGCUAUCACUUUACACUAAUGGUUUCUGUGUUCCAAACUAACUCACCCCAGAGCAUGUCUUCCUGACCCUGUGGAAGUCCAAAAUCCUGAGGAAUGUCAUGUCAGGAUCAGAGUUGGGCUGUGUUUAGCACAAGACAAACGAUCUAAUACGCAGUGCCUUCACCACAAUUGGCAUGGGGUAAGUAAAAGCUGAGCUGACGCAAGUUCAGCCCCAGCAGAGGGAGGUCUAAGGACAGGGGAAGUGGGUACAGAGGCCUGCAGGUCCUGGUCUCAGUCCCCAGCCAGGAUGUUUGUGUAAACCAAGCUGGUAGGGUUACAGGACUGCAGGGGGGCUGAGCUUUUCUUGAGAACAGCUCAGAGUACAGGGCAGGAAAGGGACCAUCAAUAGGGCUAGCUCUGUGGAGACACUGACUGGGAACUUAAGUAGGAGGCAGAGCAAAUGCUCAUGGCUCCAAGUGCCCAAGGGUGGGGGCUGCAGGAAGCUAAGUGAUUGGAAAGCAGGGAAUGGAGACUGGAGAACUAGAUUGGGAGGGGACUCAGACCAGCGGCCAGUUAGGAGUUUAGGAAGACGUGAUUCCAUAAGAAGGGGAAGAAUUAAUUACUUUUAUUAGUUGCCCUGAGGACAGGUUAAGGAAUAAUGAGCCAGAUCUGCUGCUGGGAACACACGUCAAACCCCAGGCCCAGCUGGAGCUGUGCAAGGGCUGUCUCCAUGGCUGCAAAGGAGAAGUAGGCAAUACUACCUCGAAUAGCAUCUUCUCUUACUGCCUGGUACAAUGGGGGAGAGAAGUUGCAUACCCCAUCCCAGCAGACCCCUCAAGUCUUGUUUUAUCUGCAGAUAAACUGCAGAUAAACUGCAGAACCCAGUGGCUGGGGGCGGGCCCCUAAGACACAGGCAGAGGCGGUGGGG
rnacentral:lncRNA from 1 species